rnacentral:lncRNA from 1 species
AAAAAAUCUGGAGAACACCUCCCAAAAAAAAAUCAGGAAGGGCCCCAAAAAUAUCGGGGGGACCCCAAAAAAUUCCCCAAAUUUUCCACCGAGGCCUUGGCACCCCAAAAUUUACCCUGAGGGGCAAAAUUUGGGAGGGAGCCCCCUAAAAAAUCAGAAUUUUCCCCGAAAAUCCCCAAAUUUGGGUUGUUUUGGGGUUUUCUUUGUGCUGGAUUUGAAUGGGGGACCCCAAAAUUUGACACCUCAAAUUUGUCACCCAGGUGUUAUUUCCCAGCGUUUUGGGGUGAUUUCUCAUCAUUUUGGGGUCAUUCCUGACCACUUUGGCCUCCUUGCCACCACCCCGGUGGUCACUCCCUCAGUGUCCAGCAGCGUCCAGGUGUCCGGCGGUCACUCCCCACAAUUUUGGGGUCACUUCGAGUCACUUCAGGGGUCACUUCAUGUCCCUUUGGUGGUCACUUCGUGGUCACUUCGCCCUCCUUGUCCCCCCUCAAUGUCCAGCGGUCACUCCCCACCACUCUGGGGUCACUCUCCACCAUUUUGGGGUCACUUCGAGCCACUUCAGGGGUCACUCUGUGCCACUCUGGUGGUCACUUUGUGGUCACUUCGCCCCCAGGCCAGUGGUCACCGCCUCAAUGUCCAGCGGUCACUCCCCACGAUUUUGGGGACACUUUGUGCCACUUUGGGGUCACUUUGUGCCACUUUGGGGGUCACUUUGUGCCACUCUGGU